rnacentral:lncRNA from 1 species
ACAACUUAAGUUUUGAUUUUCCACUCCAACACAUGAAAAAAUCAAACUUAGGAUAAGCACACCUCACUUGCUAUUUUUCUCACCUCCCUUCUUUCUAUUUUUCCACUCAAUUUUUUCCUUAUCUUUUCUUCUGAUUUUUUUCAAAUUUUUUUCUUCUCUUAUCACAUGCCAAGAUCUCUAAUUUUUCAUCAAAAUCCAGCCCUUAUCCCAUAAGAUGUGCCCCAUUUAAAUAGAUGAAGAAGGGACGGCG